UUUCUUUCCUCUCGUCACACCAGAAUCCUGAGGUCCCAAGACAGCUGAGGACUCUGUUCGGUGCCACCAAAGGAAUGCUGCCACUCAGACUGCCAUACCCCUGCCCUUAGAACUGAGGUCAGGCGAUGAGCUGCCAAGCGAACCAUGGCUCCCGUCUCCCCGCUGUAAGAGCCGCAGGACCCGAAGGCGAAAAUAGCAAAGAGCUAAGAGAAAGUGGGAGAGUCAGAAGGUCUCACCCGUCCAAGGAACUUCAAUACCUGUGCCGACAAGACAGGAGCCAAAAAUGUGCCUAUCAUCUCUGUGAAGGGAAUCAAGGGAUGGCUGGACAGACUUCCUGUUGCCGGUGAGUGACAUGGUGAUGGCCACAGUUAAGAAAAACAAACCAGGGCGG